CCUACGGGCGGCAGCAGUGAGGAAUAUUGGUCAAUGGACGCAAGUCUGAACCAGCCAUGCCGCGUGCAGGAAGACGGCUCUAUGAGUUGUAAACUGCUUUUGUACGAGGGUAAAUCCCGAUACGUGUAUCGGGUUGAAAGUAUCGUACGAAUAAGGAUCGGCCAACUCCGUGCCAGCAGCCGCGGGAAUACGGAGGAUUCAAGCGUUAUCCGGAUUUAUUGGGUUUAAAGGGUGCGUAGGCGGUUCGGUAAGUUAGAGGUGAAAUCCCGAGGCUCAACGUCGGAAUUGCCUUUGAUACUGUUCGUCUAGAGAGUAGGAGCGGUAGGCGGAAUGUGUGGUGUAGCGGUGAAAUGCUUAGAGAUCAUACAGAACACCGAUUGCGAAGGCAGCUUACCGGGCUACUUCUGACGUUGAGGCACGAAAGCGUGGGGAGCAAACAGGAUUAGAUACCCUAGUAGUC
rnacentral:rRNA from 1 species